rnacentral:rRNA from 1 species
UACGAAGGGGGCUAGCGUUGCUCGGAAUCACUGGGCGUAAAGCGUACGUAGGCGGACUUUUAAGUCGGGGGUGAAAUCCCAGGGCUCAACCCUGGAACUGCCUUCGAUACUGGGAGUCUUGAGUCCGGGAGAGGUUGGUGGAACUCCGAGUGUAGAGGUGAAAUUCGUAGAUAUUCGGAAGAACACCAGUGGCGAAGGCGGCCAACUGGCCCGGUACUGACGCUGAGGUACGAAAGCGUGGGGAGCAAACAGG